GCCCAGCUAGCUCAGUCGGUAGAGCAUGAGACUCCUAAUCUCAGGGUCCUGGGCU
rnacentral:tRNA from 1 species